UAGGGAAUCUUCGGCAAUGGACGGAANNNUGGACCGAGCAACCCCGCGUGAGUGAAGAAGGUUUUCGGAUCGUAAAGCUCUGUUGUAAGAGAAGAACGAGUGUGAGAGUGGAAAGUUCACACUGUGACGGUAUCUUACCAGAAAGGGACGGCUAACUACGUGCCAGCAGCCGCGGUAAUACGUAGGUCCCGAGCGUUGUCCGGAUUUAUUGGGCGUAAAGCGAGCGCAGGCGGUUAGAUAAGUCUGAAGUUAAAGGCUGUGGCUUAACCAUAGUACGCUUUGGAAACUGUUUAACUUGAGUGCAAGAGGGGAGAGUGGAAUUCCAUGUGUAGCGGUGAAAUGCGUAGAUAUAUGGAGGAACACCGGUGGCGAAAGCGGCUCUCUGGCUUGUAACUGACGCUGAGGCUCGAAAGCGUGGGGAGCAAACAGGAUUAGAUACCCUGGUAGUCCACGCCGUAAACGAUGAGUGCUAGGUGUUAGACCCUUUCCGGGGUUUAGUGCCGCAGCUAACGCAUUAAGCACUCCGCCUGGGGAGUACGACCGCAAGNUUG
rnacentral:rRNA from 1 species